AACAUAUGAUGACAACGUUUCGGUCCCAAAUGAGCAUCGGUGAUUAUCGUUGAGAUCCCCUGAUGUU
rnacentral:snoRNA from 1 species